UGCUGUGGUAUCCUAGUGGUUAGAGUGUCUACUUAAGAUGCAGGAGGUCAUGGGUUCGAAACCCAUCUGAGUAA